CACGUAGGGUGCGAGCGUUGUCCGGAAUUAUUGGGCGUAAAGAGCUCGUAGGCGGUGUGUCGCGUCGGCCGUGAAAACCUGCAGCUUAACUGUGGGCUUGCGGUCGAUACGGGCAUCACUGGAGUUCGGCAGGGGAGACUGGAAUUCCUGGUGUAGCGGUGAAAUGCGCAGAUAUCAGGAGGAACAUCGGUGGCGAAGGCGGGUCUCUGGGCCGAUACUGACGCUGAGGAGCGAAAGCGUGGGGAGCGAGCAGG
rnacentral:rRNA from 1 species